UGAAAAAGUAUUGUGUAGUCCCUGUGUAAGUGUUGACUCUCAAUUUGCACAUGCGAUUUUUUAAUAUUCCCCGGACUUCUGCAAAAAACAAUUAUUCAGUUCACUGAUUAAGAUGGAAGGGCAAGAACAUUAAAGAUAAAGAGGAAACUAUAAACAGAAGAAAUUAUCAACAAAAUAAGAUUUACAGAGGUCAACAAAGCCUAAAUGGUCAGACAUCUCGAUUUUCAUAGUCAUCAUUCACAGAUCAAUACUAAACGGAAAACUUAAAGCUGAUAUUUUUCUCCAUAGAGCGACUUUUUUUAUUAAUUUGAAAUGGAAUGUGUUUUUUCCUACAUUUAUUUGAAAGAGGAAAUUUCAACAUGAGGACUAUAAACAAAAAGGAGUCAUAUCAUCACGAUCAUUGAUGCACAAGAACUUGAUCAUAGAAAUACAACAAUGUAAUUAUCAAUUGAAAGAUGGAACGAAUGAACAAAAUAUUAGAAUGUUGUUGUCCAAAUAAACUUGCUUUGUCUUCUCAUUCGAAUCUCUCCAUUCAAUAAAGAUGUACAGAGGAAGAUCUUUGAAGAACAGAUUGAAAAAAAUGUCUUGUCUAAGAAUUGCAGGAAUAUUCUAGUGAAUGAAAUUAUUUAUUGACUUCACUCUUAUAUAGUGGACUGAAUAAUUGUACAUAGCAAGUUGUGAAUAAAGAAAACAAAAACUUUAACAAAAAGUGUUUAUAUUAUAAAUUUGCAAAUAUAAGCAUACUAUUAUGUACACUACAAAGGUAUAUCUAAUUCAAAUUGUUUGCAUAUGCAAGUAUUGCAAUGAAACUAUAACAAAGAAAAUCUUACCUCAUGAAAAGAGUAAACUAUUCAGUCAGAAUAUAAAAUAUUUUUCAGUUCUAUUUUUCAUAAUAGAAUAAACAAGUCAAAGAUUUCAAAACAAUAUUUUUUCAUUUAUUUAGACAUUUCAUCAUUUUGUUUCAGUGAACGGACUUUAUUCUUUGACUGUAAAUAUUAUUAUA